GACGAACGCUGGCGGCGUGCUUAACACAUGCAAGCCGAACGGAAAGGCCCUGCUUUUGUGGGGUGUUCGAGUGGCGAACGGGUGAGUAACACGUGAGUAACCUGCCCUUGACUUUGGGAUAACUUCAGGAAACUGGGGCUAAUACCGGAUAGGAGCUCCUGCUGCAUGGUGGGGGUUGGAAAGUUUCGGCGGUUGGGGAUGGACUCGCGGCUUAUCAGCUUGUUGGUGGGGUAGUGGCUUACCAAGGCUUUGACGGGUAGCCGGCCUGAGAGGGUGACCGGCCACAUUGGGACUGAGAUACGGCCCAGACUCCUACGGGAGGCAGCAGUGGGGAAUAUUGCACAAUGGGCGGAAGCCUGAUGCAGCAACGCCGCGUGCGGGAUGACGGCCUUCGGGUUGUAAACCGCUUUCGCCUGUGACGAAGCGUGAGUGACGGUAAUGGGUAAAGAAGCACCGGCUAACUACGUG
rnacentral:rRNA from 1 species